rnacentral:rRNA from 1 species
UCCGUAGGUGAACCUGCGGAAGGAUCAUUACAGAGAGGAGCUUCGCGCUCCAGGGGGUGUCAAACCCCCCCGCCUCUCAACCCUGUGAUAAUUUACCUAUGUUGCUUUGGCGGGCCUUGGGGUCACGCUCAUGCCGGCUCUGCCGGCGAGUGCGCGCCAGAAGCCCCACCAAAAUCGUUUUAUCAGUGUCGUCAGAGGAUACACAAAAUGAAGCAAAACUUUCAACAACGGAUCUCUUGGUUCUGGCAUCGAUGAAGAACGCAGCGAAAUGCGAUAAGUAAUGUGAAUUGCAGAAUUCAGUGAAUCAUCGAAUCUUUGAACGCACAUUGCGCCCCUCGGCAUUCCGGGGGGCAUACCUGUUCGAGCGUCAUUACACCUCUCAAGCGUAGCUUGGUAUUGGGCUACCUCGUCCGGGGGGCGUGCCUGAAAAUGAGUGGCGGCCCAGCGUGGCUUUGAACGUAGUAAACAAACUUCCCGUUCUGAAAGUUUCACGUUGUGGCUUGCCAGAAACCCCCCAUACUGAAUCAAGAAUUGACCUCGGAUCAGGUAGGGAUACCCGCUGAACUUAAGCAUAUCAAUAAGCGGAGGA